GACGAACGCUGGCGGCGUGCUUAACACAUGCAAGUCGAACGGAAAGGCCCUGCUUUUGUGGGGUGCUCGAGUGGCGAACGGGUGAGUAACACGUGAGUAACCUGCCCUUGACUUUGGGAUAACUUCAGGAAACUGGGGCUAAUACCGGAUAGGAGCUCCUGCUGCAUGGUGGGGGUUGGAAAGUUUCGGCGGUUGGGGAUGUACUCGGGGCUUAUCAGCUUGUUGGUGGGGUAGUGGCUUACCAAGGCUUUGACGGGUAGCCGGACUGAGAGGGUGACAGGCCCCAUGGGACUGAGAGACGGCCCAGACUCCUACGGGAGGCAGCAGUGGGGAAUAUUGCAGAACGGGCGGAAGCCUGAUGCAGCAACGCCGCGUGCGGGAUGACGGCCUUCGGGUUGUAAACCGCUUUCGCCUGUGACGAAGCGUGAGUGACGGUAAUGGGUAAAGAAGCAACGGCUAACUACGUG
rnacentral:rRNA from 1 species